CAGAGUUGCAAGACUCCCUAAACCAUUGUGAACCUACCUUCUACCGUUGCUUCGGCGGGCGGACCCAGCGCCCCCCCCGGCCCCCCGCGGGCGCCCGCCGGAGGAUACCCAAACUCUUGACAUUAGUGGCCUCUCUGAGUAUUCUUUACUGAAUAAGUCA
rnacentral:misc_RNA from 1 species